rnacentral:rRNA from 1 species
AUUGAACGCUGGCGGCAGGCCUAACACAUGCAAGUCGAGCGAGCGGCGGACGGGUGAGUAAUGUAUGGGGACUGCCCGAUAGAGGGGGAUAACUACUGGAAACGGUAGCUAAUACCGCAUACUAUCGGAUAACCCAUAUGGGAUUAGCUAGUGGGUGAGGUAAUGGCUCACCUAGGCGACGAUCCCUAGCUGGUCUGAGAGGAUGAUCAGCAAAACGGGGACUGGGACACGGCCCCGACUCCUACGGAGGCAGCAGGGGGGAAUAUUGCACAAUGGGGGAAAGCCUGAUGCAGCCAGGCCGGGUGUAUGAAGAAGGCCCUAGGGUGGUAAAGUACUUUCAGUCGGGAGGCGUUACCGACAGAAGAAGCACCGGCUAACUCCGUGCCAGCAGCCGCGGUAAUAC